CUCUCUGUAGCUCAGUUGGUUAGAGCGCUGCACAGAAAUCGCAGGACCGCAGGUUCGAUUCCUGCCAGGGACC
rnacentral:tRNA from 1 species